UGAGGAAUUUUGCGCAAUGGGGGAAACCCUGACGCAGCAACGCCGCGUGAGUGAUGAAGGCCUUCGGGUCGUAAAGCUCUGUCAAGUGGGAAGAAUCUGCUCUGUGAUAAUACCACGGGGCACUGACGGUACCACUGAAGGAAGCACCGGCUAACUCCGUGCCAGCAGCCGCGGUAAUACGGGGGGUGCUAGCGUUAUUCGGAAUCAUUGGGCGUAAAGGGCGCGUAGGCGGUCUCUUAAGUCAGAUGUGAAAGCCCUCGGCUUAACCGGGGAAGUGCAUUUGAUACUAAGAGACUUGAGUAUGGGAGAGGGAAGCGGAAUUCCUGGUGUAGCGGUGAAAUGCGUAGAUAUCAGGAGGAACACCGGUGGCGAAGGCGGCUUCCUGGACCAAUACUGACGCUGAGGCGCGAAGGCGUGGGGAGCAAACAGGAUUAGAUACCCUGGUAGUCCACGCAGUAAACGGUGAACACUAGGUGUAGCGGGUAUUGACCCCUGCUGUGCCGAAGCUAACGCAUUAAGUGUUCCGCCUGGGAAGUACGGCCGCAAGGUUA
rnacentral:rRNA from 1 species